rnacentral:rRNA from 1 species
GAUGAACGCUGGCGGCGUGCCUAAUACAUGCAAGUCGAGCGAGCGGACGAGAAGCUUGCUUCUCUGAUGUUAGCGGCGGACGGGUGAGUAACACGUGGAUAACCUACCUAUAAGACUGGGAUAACUUCGGGAAACCGGAGCUAAUACCGGAUAAUAUUUUGAACCGCAUGGUUCAAAAGUGAAAGACGGUCUUGCUGUCACUUAUAGAUGGAUCCGCGCUGCAUCAGCUAGUUGGUAAGGUAACGGCUUACCAAGGCAACGAUGCAUAGCCGACCUGAGAGGGUGAUCGGCCACACUGGAACUGAGACACGGUCCAGACUCCUACGGGAGGCAGCAGUAGGGAAUCUUCCGCAAUGGGCGAAAGCCUGACGGAGCAACGCCGCGUGAGUGAUGAAGGUCUUCGGAUCGUAAAACUCUGUUAUUAGGGAAGAACAUAUGUGUAAGUAACUGUGCACAUCUUGACGGUACCUAAUCAGAAAGCCACGGCUAACUACGUG